ensembl:lncRNA
UCUCCUCUCCAGAAUGAAGGGUAUUUAUCUCUGGUGACCCACCUUCUCCUCUCCAGAAUGAAGGGUAUUUAUCUCAGGUGAUGCCUUCCCAGCAGCCUCCAGUCCCUUCCUGCCGGGCUAUUCCGGCCCCUCCCCCCUAACCUCUGACCCAGCCUACAGAUCACCCAAUCAGAUGGCUCAGCUCUGGGCCUCACACGCUGCUGCCCACGAAGGCUACGCCCCUCUCCCAGGCGGUCUGUACCCCAGCCCCUACCACCUCCCCCUGGGUAACCUGGAGCCUCCUCCCCCCUCGCUGGGCUUGGCUCAGCACCACCACCUCUACAACGCACCACACCAAGAGAGGUUCUUUCUGCCGGUGUCGUUACCCCAGCCGCCUCUUCAACCCUCCUCCGUCCCCCCCAGUUCCACCCCCCAGAGUAGCUCCCGGGAGGGGGGCAGGGACCGAGACAUACUCUACCGCGAGGAGAGGGAGAGAGAGGAGCCUCAGGAGGGGGGCAGAGCCCGAGACAGACUCUACCGUGUGGCGAGGGAGAGAGAGGAGCCCCAGGAGGGGGGCAGGGACCGAGACAGACUCUGCUGUGAGGAGAGAGAGGAGCCUCAGGAGGGGGGCAGGGACCGAGACAGACUCUACCACGAGGAGAGAGAGGAGCCCCGGGAGGGGGGCAGAGACAGACUCUACCGCGAGGAGAGAGGGCGAGGCGAGAGGGAGCGGUCGAGAGAGGAGCCUCGUCCAUACAGUGUGGUAGAUCUGACACAGGAUGGGAGGAGUGGAGAGAGAGAACGCCACAGAGAACGAGAGACUGAGCGAGACAGAGACCGAGAGAGAGAGGUUCUCCUCCACCACCCCUCUGCUUCUCGACCCCCCAGGGCUCCUCCUCUUCUGGGCGUUACCCAGAGACUGAUGACACACCCACUCGCUCCCCCAACCCUAACCCCAGCCCCCACACACACACAGACAGGCUGAGGAAGACUGAAUCUACCUACAGCGGUGCACUCCUUCCUGGCCCCGCCUACCCUGCACACCGGGAGCCUAUCAGGGAACAGCGUGUGAGCGCGCCCACUUACGUGCCUUCUGUGGAGGUCUAUGAUGAGCAGGUCGGCCCGAUCCAGAUCGCAUCGCAGGCCAGGGACAAACAGGACAAACUGAAAGAGAGAGA